GCGAAGGAGUCAAAAGAGAUGACUAAAAAGAUCGUGUCGCUCGCCGAGGAGUUUGGGCUGAGCGUAAGCGCGUUUGGCGGCAAGCAUAGCAAGAGCGGACAGUCGGGCCACCUCCUUCAGAUCUU
rnacentral:SRP_RNA from 1 species